rnacentral:rRNA from 1 species
AUGGUCCAUUGGGGCGAGCCCUCUGUGCUGGCCAGGGGUUGCAUUUACUGGUUGAUUUCGGUGACGAGUAUCCUCGAGUUUGAUUUGGAUAGCCAGACCCUAGCUGUGAUAUUGGUGCCAGCGGGCAUGCGUACCGGCAGGAUUUACCAGUCCACGGUUAUGCGAGCAGAGGGUGGUGGGAUGGGUUACCUCAACGUGGCAGACUUCACUGCCGAAUUAUGGAGGAGGGAGACAGACUGUGAUGGUUCAUGGAUGCUUGGAGGAACUGUUGAAUUGGACAAGUUACUUCCCCCAGGUUCAGACAACGAAGCCCUGCGUAUGUUAGGUUAUGCUGAGGAAAACAAUGAGGUGUUCUUCUGGACAGUUGUUGGUGUCUUCAUGUUCAACCUUCAGUCACUGCAGCUCACGAGACUUUCUGAGAUCGACAUCUCUGGUUAUGGUUAUCAUCCAUUCGAAACCGUCUAUACUCCAGGCAUUGGUGGUGGACAAGUGGUGAACAAGACGCGCUCAUGGUGGAAACGAUGGAGACAGCACAUAAGACGAUUAUUCAGUGCGCUCGUGGUGGAAACGAUGGAGACAACACAUAAGAGGAUUAUUCUGUUAGAUGUAUUGGUCGAGCAAGGUCGGCGGCAUGAUGCUUCGUGUGCGAUAACCACUUCGUAUCUGGUGAAAUCUCAUUUGGUUGCGUUACUACAUAAAUAUGGUUGCCAGACAUAUUGCUGUGCCUAUGGAAGUGACGAUAGACGUAUUACACGAACAUGUGUGUUCCUAUGA